rnacentral:sRNA from 1 species
CAGAUUAUUACCACCAUCGCUCCGAUGGUGGGUUAGCGCAUUCGAAGCGACAACCAAACCCGCCUCCCGGCGGGUUUU